GAGGGUAUAGCUCAGUGUGGGAGAGUGCAUGCUUAGCAUGCAUGAGGUCCUGGGUUCAAUCCCCCGGACCUCCA
rnacentral:tRNA from 1 species